CCUACGGGUGGCAGCAGUGAGGAAUAUUGGUCAAUGGACGAGAGUCUGAACCAGCCAAGUAGCGUGAAGGAUGACUGCCCUAUGGGUUGUAAACUUCUUUUAUAUGGGAAUAAAAUGUUCCACGUGUGGGAUUUUGUAUGUACCAUAUGAAUAAGGAUCGGCUAACUCCGUACCAGCAGCCGCGGUAAUACGGAGGAUCCGAGCGUUAUCCGGAUUUAUUGGGUUUAAAGGGAGCGUAGGUGGAUUGUUAAGUCAGUUGUGAAAGUUUGCGGCUCAACCGUAAAAUUGCAGUUGAAACUGGCAGUCUUGAGUACAGUAGAGGUGGGCGGAAUUCGUGGUGUAGCGGUGAAAUGCUUAGAUAUCACGAAGAACUCCGAUUGCGAAGGCAGUUCACUGGACUGCAACUGACACUGAGGCUCGAAAGUGUGGGUAUCAAACAGGAUUAGAUACCCGUGUAGUC
rnacentral:rRNA from 1 species